rnacentral:rRNA from 2 species
UUGACCUCGGAUCAGGUAGGAAUACCCGCUGAACUUAAGCAUAUCAAUAAGCC